AACAACAACAAAACAACAACACAAUUCAGUAGCUAAACAAAUUAGGGACCUGCCACUUUUGUGGUAAGUAACAACUUAGCUUCUGAUAUUGCCAGGGGUCCAACUGUACAGACUGGGCCUAAAUAAGCUGAGCUUCCUGAUGCUCUUCUCAUGCUGUGUUGCCAAGUUGCUGAAUUGUUCUUUGUGGUAUCAACCCUGCACAUUUGCUUGGGCUACUAAAUGAUCUCAGACCAUCAAGAAUGGGAAUAAAGGAGGAUGACCCUUGCAGUAAACCAGAUAAAACUCUAUGGUGACUUAAAUCCAGAAUGUGACCAUGAACUGAGCAAGGUCUAAAUUAUUAUGGUUCAGUAAAUUGUUGGUGAAACGGAUUGCACAGAGUGAAAUCGGAGAUAAGAACUGCACAUACGGUGUCCUGUCUUUAUUUUCUUCCCUAUGUUUAGAUUGAAAG